GUUCACCAUAUCCAUUCUGUUCACCAUGUUCAUCCUGUUCGUUUGACAUAUUACAAUUUUGGUCUUGUUGUUGUUUUUCUUUACCAUUUCCACAUUCUAUGUCACCAGUUUGUUUAUUAAUAAUAUUAUCAUUACCAACUGAUUGAUUAAUAAUUAAAUUUUUUAAGUUGUAUACAGACAUUUUGUUACGUUUAUAAGCAAAUGUAGAAAAUAUUUGAAUGCUUACUAAAUUAAAGUAUAUAUAACAUGAAAAAAUAAAUUUUUUUAGAAUAAAAAAAUAUAUAUAUAUAUCAUUAUUACUACAUAAUAUUUUAUAUAAAUGAUAAUUAAAAUUAGAUAUAGGACCUUCCUUUGUAUAUAUAUGAAAAGAACACCAUUGUUUUUUUUUUAUUAAUAAUAAUUGGAAUAUUGUAAGACAAUUUUCUUUAAGCAUUGCUAUAUCGAACUCGUAAGGAUUAUUUACAGUAAUAAAAAAACGACAAGAAUUACUUAACUUUUCAUCAUAAUUAUAAUGAGGUACUUUAUUAGAUCUAUAUGCAUUUAAUAAUGGAAAGUUAUCAUACUCUUUUUCAUUUGAAUUGUAGGUAUUUAUAUUUCCAGUACCAGUGUCUGUAUUAUUACCCAUACAAUCAUCACUGUUAUAAUUAUUACUAUAUUUAUUACAACUAUUAAUAUUGUCACUAUUGUUAUUUUUUUUAUUUUUUUCAUAAUUAUGAAAUUGUGUUUUAAUAUGUUCAUAUAUAUGAAUAUAAUUAUUAUAUAAUUUACGUGUAUAAUUAUUCAACUUUUCAUUUUUUAUUUUAGCUACAUCACCCUCCUUAUUACUAUUACUAUUAUAAUUGCUAUUAUAAUUAUUACUACCAAAACCAACAUGACUAUUAUUACUGUUGACUUUAAAAUUAUUAUUAUGAAUAUUGUAACUCUUAUUCGUGUUAUUCGGGUUCAUAUAAUUUAUAUUAUUAUAAUUAUUUAUAUUUUCUUUUUUCCUUAACGGUGCAUGUAUACAUUCAUUAAUAUAAGUACUAUUAUUACUAUUACUAUUGUAACUAUAAUUGUUACUAUAAUUGUUACUAUAAUUGUUACUAUAACUGUUACUAUAAUUGUUGCUAUAAUUGUUACUACUAUCAUCUUCAUCAUUUUCAUUAGUAUACAUGUUUUUUUUUUUUUUUUUUUUUUUUUUUUUUUUUUUUUUUUUUUUUUUUUUUUUUUUUUUUUUUUUUUUUUUUUUUUUUUUUUUUUUAGCAUGCUGUUAUAUUUUUUAUUAAUAAAAAAUAUGUAUUAUAUUAAGAUUAUAUAUAUAUAUAUAUAGCACCCACAAAUUAAUUUUUGGCAAUGCAAGCCGUCCUAGUGUUCUAUAUUGCAUAAAGUUGUUUUAUUUUUUCUUUUCUAUUAAAAAAGGAGGUUGGGUACAUUUUUCUAUUUAUUCACUAACGCUGUUAUUCUAACUCAAAUUUAAAAAAAAAAAAAAAAAAAAAAAAAAAAUAAAUAACGUUAUAUGUAUUGAUAAAAAGUAAAA
rnacentral:lncRNA from 1 species